UCCUAAGCAAAGACUCUGCUCCAUCCACUUCAUGCUGACCUGAUGGAAUCAAUGGUCUGACCUCUGCAAACCCACAAGCGUUCUUGAACCUACCUGUUCCUCCAGUCACUGAUAGAUGCGACAUGGCGCUUCCGAUCCUGUAAAUUCCGUAGAAGUUAAGGUUGUCGUUGUACUCUCCUCCUUCAAGCAUAGCUGUGAAAGCCAUCAUCUGUGUGCUUCCAUCUGCAGAACUUGCAACAUAAACUCCUUGAGCCUUACCAAGUGGCUGUGAACCCAAGUCAGGACCAGAUGUGAGUAUAUCGUCGAUCACAGUAAUGGUACCAAACCCGAGACUGAGACCAUCAGGACCCAACUGAGUCUGAAUUCCGUUUAGGUUCUGACCAGAGUAUGCUGUACCAGACAAGCCGGUCCCAAGAGGUACACCAUUGAUGCCGUUAACCGUUGGUAGUGCGCCGUUUGCAUUGGGUAUGGCUAUACCGUUCUCAGGAGGAGUGAAACCAAUCUGCUUAGCAAAUGGAACUUGACCGUUGUAAAUGUUCCCGAGCAAACCCGUGAUGGGCCUCGCGGUGGGGCUGCUUCCUCCAAGUAAAUCGUGCAUGUAGAGUUCGAAAAUGGGGUCUUCAGGUGCAGGAUCAAGCGCUGCUACAAACACAGCAACCGUGAACAAGAUUGUUGUUAAAAGCAAGAAUGGUGAUUGCUUGAUCAUCAUGGAGAAUGUUAUCGUUAAGUGUUGCUCUGUUUUUUUUUUUUUGUGUUGGAAGAUGAUUUUGAACUGAUUGAGAUUUGUUUGAUGAAUAUAUGAAAAAAUGUGGGAAACGCUGUUUAAAUAGAG
rnacentral:lncRNA from 1 species